rnacentral:lncRNA from 1 species
CACAUCCUGACUCUAAAUCUCCCCUUUGCUUUCCCACAGCCACUCCAGAUGAGUGCUGCCCUCAGACACCAAGAAACUGCAUGGUGCAUAUUGAGGAUUUGGAGGAGAGCAAGACUAUAGAGAUACCAAAAAGAUCUCUGGUCAUCUUUUUGAAGACUGCUUCAGGAGAAGUCAGCAGCGAUGAUGAGGAAGACCUGGAAGAGCAAGAGUGAACGUGGGACCUGGGGUGAAAGGCUCUGCUCUGAAUCCCUGAAGACCUGGACCUGGACAUCAUCCUGGACCCCAGAGGGGAUGGAGCCCCCACAGCACCAGGAGCCUCAUCUGGACCAGAUCAGGGGAGGCCUCACUGCCUCUCUACUGAGAGUCCUCAUUUAGUACAGCUUCAUUUGUUUUGCUCUGUCGAUUUAGUAUUAGUUUUAUCUACAGUUUUAUCUUUAUAUUCUGUAUAUAUCUAUAUGUUCCAUAUUUAUAAGUAAGUUUUUUCAUUAAAUGUUUUUAUCUAUUUACUUUCAAAAUAACUUUUUG